rnacentral:misc_RNA from 1 species
CCUCCCAUUAACCAGCAUAUUAGUACUACAGCAAAUGGGCGCGUUUUUACAGGGAAUUAUAAUAAUCCUUCCAUCAUCCAUCCAUCCACGAAGAAGAAAAAUAAAUCUAGGCACGGUUCCGGCUGGCCGGAGGAGGGGAGCAAGCUAGGCGAGGAGCGCAUCGGAUCCGACCACUGGGGUUGGGGCCCCGGCGGCCCGAGCCCGAUGACGAUCCGUCACCGCGUGUGCUUGCAGGGGCCCGCGGCGGGGGGCUGCUUGGUGCCGCUGCCGCUGCAGAGGAACAGCCCCGAGGAGGAGAGGGUGUUGACGGCGCCGGCGAAGCCGAAGAGGAGCGCGAGGCCGGCGACCCAGGGCAUGAGGAGGAAGCCGAUGGCGAAGGUGACGGAGCCGCAGAGCAUGAGCGCCACCGACGCGCCGAGGAGCAUGGCCGCGGCCGCGGCAGGGGACAUCGUCGACACCGGCUGCCGCGGCGGCGCCGGGGAGGGGGACACGAUGGCGAGCAGCAGCGCGCAGAGCUCGCGGACCUGCCGCGAGUAGUGCUCGCCGCCGCCGCCGCCGCCGCCGGUACACGUCAUGCUCGCUGGGUUGCUGGGAGGAAGAGGUCGAGGGGUCCUCGCCCCUUUGACUCGUCGCGAGCGGUCGGUCGGUGGAUCAGCGCGCAGGCGAGGAGAGGGCGAGGGGACUCGAGACGUGGCGUACGGCAAGAGGAGGCG